UACGUAGGGUCCGAGCGUCGUCCGGAAUUACUGGGCGUAAAGAGCUCGUAGGUGGUUUGUCGCGUUGUUCGUGAAAACUCACAGCUCAACUGUGGGCGUGCGGGCGAUACGGGCAGACUGGAGUACUGCAGGGGAGACUGGAAUUCCUGGUGUAGCGGUGGAAUGCGCAGAUAUCAGGAGGAACACCGGUGGCGAAGGCGGGUCUCUGGACAGUAACUGACGCUGAGGCGCGAAAGCGUGGGGAGCAAACAGG
rnacentral:rRNA from 1 species